rnacentral:misc_RNA from 1 species
GGGUUAACCUCUGCAACCACAAAAUCAUGAGUUACUCAUUCCAAGAUGACUUUGAUAAAUCCCAACAAGAUGCAGAGAGUACUUUUAACAACUUUGCUGAACAGGUCAAUUCAACCAUGAAAUGGGGAUUAACAGAAUCCAUUGUCAUGGGGGUGGUGAUAACUGUAGCAAUUGUAGCCAUAGUUUAUGCCAUCAUUGACUGCCUGAAGAAAGCAGGAAGUGCAAUUCCUGAAUAUGCCAGGAUUUCUACCAGUGAUAAAAUAGAUAAAGCUUCAACUGAGCACGUGGCAAUAACAGUAACGGAGCCUGAAUUCCCAGUGAUUAGAGAUUCACAGGUUCAGUAUGCAACAAUGGAGAGAUUCCUUAGUAAUAUUGCAAGAGAGAAACCCAUCAGGUUUUCGCCUCAGCAGAUUCAAGAAUUCACCAGUAAUUGCUCCAACCUGUUGGGUUCAGGAGCUUAUGGAGUAGUCUUUAAAGGAGAGCUCCCAAAUGGAGUGCCUGUAGCUGUAAAAGUCCUCACCAACCAUUCCAAUAAUAAGAAAGUAGAAGAGCAGUUCAUGGCAGAAGUAGGCACCAUAGGAAGAACUUAUCAUGCCAAUCUGGUUAGACUCUAUGGCUUCUGCUUUGAUCCUUCUUUGAUGGCUCUUGUUUAUGAGUACAUGGAGAAUGGAUCUCUCAACAAGUUGUUGUUCAACGAAAUGAGAGAGAUUGAGUGGCAGAAGCUGCAUGAGAUUGCAAUAGGAACCGCAAAAGGUAUUGCCUAUUUGCACGAGGACUGCCAACAAAGGAUUAUUCACUACGAUAUAAAACCUGAAAACAUACUUCUUGAUAAUUCUUUGAAUCCCAAGGUUGCAGAUUUUGGGUUGGCAAAGUUAUGCAAUAGAGAGAGCAAUGAGGUAACAUUAAGUGGGGGUAGAGGAACGCUUGGAUACUCUGCCCCGGAGGUGUGGAAUCGGAGCCAUCCAGUGACACACAAGUGCGAUGUAUACAGUUUUGGAAUUCUGCUAUUUGAAAUUGUUGGAAGGAGAAGACAUUUUGAUGAUAAUCUCAAUGAGUCUCGUCAAUGGCUUCCAAAAUGGACAUGGGAUAUGUACAAGAAUAAUGAACUUGAAUUGAUGUUAUCUCUUUGUGGGAUUGAACAGAAGGAUAAAGAGAAGGCAGAGAGGAUGGUUGUUGUGGCUCUGCAAUGCAUUCAACAUUCACCUGAUGCAAGACCUCUGAUGAGUGAUGUGGUAAAGAUGCUGGAGGGAAGCAUGGAAGUAUUGCAACAGCCUCAAAAUCCAUUUGACUAUUUGGAAUCUAAUAGACCCAAUAUUGCUUUCUUCACCGGAAGUGAUGAAGACUCGAGCACACAGUCGUCUGCAUUGACAAGGCAUAUUUCUGAGCCAGCUUAUCCCGUAACUAGGCAUGAAAUGGAAAUUGAGUUAGCUGCUACUUCUUAGUUUCAAUACAUAACCUUAUAUCUCUGUAUACAAGGAUAAAUUAUUACAUACAAUCAUUAUAUGUACAACACAAUAAUUAUAUUCUAAAAUUUCUAUACAAAAAUCAUAAAUUUAUU